UACAGAGGGGGCAAGCGUUGUCCGGAGUUACUGGGCGUAAAGCGCACGUAGGCGGUUGUGCAAGUGGUGUGUGAAACCAAUCAGCUUAACUGAUUGACGCCAUGCCAAACUGCACGACUUGAGUUAUGGAGAGGUUGCUCGAAUUGCCGGUGUAGUGGUGAAAUGCGUAGAGAUCGGCAGGAAGACCAAGGGAGAAAUCAGGCAACUGGCCAUAUACUGACGCUCAGGUGCGAAAGCGUGGGGAGCGAACUGG
rnacentral:rRNA from 1 species